rnacentral:tRNA from 1 species
CUUCGGGCUGGCGUCGGACUUCAGGGCGGUGAUGUUCCCGGCGUCGCAGCGGCUGUUCGAGCUGGCCGACGAGGU